rnacentral:tRNA from 1 species
UGCGGGUUCGUCUAAUGGUAGGACAUACGCCUCUGGAGCGUAGUAUUGGGGUUCGAGUCCCUGACCCGCAGCCA